rnacentral:rRNA from 1 species
UACGUAGGGGGCAAGCGUUGUCCGGAUUUAUUGGGCGUAAAGAGCGUGUAGGCGGCCUGAAAGGUCAGCUGUGAAAACUCGAGGCUCAACCUCGAGACGUCGGUUGAAACCAUCUGGCUAGAGUCCGGAAGAGGAGAGUGGAAUUCCUGGUGUAGCGGUGAAAUGCGCAGAUAUCAGGAAGAACACCCGUGGCGAAGGCGGGUCUCUGGGACGGUACUGACGCUGAGACGCGAAAGCGUGGGGAGCGAACAGG